rnacentral:rRNA from 1 species
UCGGGAAUUUUGCACAAUGGCCGAAAGGCUGAUGCAGCGACGCCGCGUGAAGGAAGAAGGCUUUCGGGUUGUAAACUUCUUUUUAUCAAGAGGCCCCGCAAGGGGAUACAGUAUUGGUAGAAUAAGUCACGGCUAACUACGUGCCAGCAACCGCGGUAAUACGUAGGUGGCAAACGUUAUCCGGAAUUACUGGGUGUAAAGCGUUCGUAGGUUUUUUGGUAGGUCUCUGAUUAAAUACGUAAGCUUAACUUACGUCAGGUUGGGGAAACCACCAGAAUAGAAGGGUAUCGAGGUAAGUGGAAUUUGCGGUGUAGCAGUGAAAUGCGUUGAUAUCGCAAGGAACACCAAUGGCGAAGGCAGCUUACUAGGUACUACUUGACGCUGAGGAACGAAAGCGUGGGGAGCAAACGGG